rnacentral:rRNA from 1 species
CCUACGGGAGGCUGCAGUGGGGAAUAUUGCACAAUGGGGGAAACCCUGAUGCAGCGACGCCGCGUGAGUGAAGACGUAUCUCGGUAUGUAAAGCUCUAUCAGCAGGGAAGAAAAUGACGGUACCUGACUAAGAAGCCCCGGCUAACUACGUGCCAGCAGCCGCGGUUAUACGUAGGGGUCAAGCGUUAUCCGGAUGUACUGGGUGUAAAGGGAGCGUAGACGGCGCUGGAAGUCCGGAGUGAAAGCCCAUGGCUUAACCAUGGUACUGCUCUGGAACCUGGGGAGCUAGAGUGCGGGAGGGGCAGGCGGAAUUCCUAGUGUAGCGGUGAAAUGCGUAGAUAUUAGGAGGAACACCGGCGGCGAAGGCGGCCUGCUGGACCGUAACUGACGUUGAGGCUCGAAAGCGUGGGGAGCGAACAGGAUUAGAUACCCCUGUAGUC